rnacentral:rRNA from 1 species
UACGGAGGGGACUAGCGUUGUUCGGAAUUACUGGGCGUAAAGCGCACGUAGGCGGCUAUUCAAGUCAGAGGUGAAAGCCCGGGGCUCAGCCCCGGAACUGCCUUUGAAACUAGAUAGCUAGAAUCACGGAGAGGUAAGUGGAAUUCCGAGUGUAGAGGUGAAAUUCGUAGAUAUUCGGAAGAACACCAGUGGCGAAGGCGGCUUACUGGACGUGAAUUGACGCUGAGGUGCGAAAGCGUGGGGAGCAAACAGG